rnacentral:lncRNA from 1 species
CCAAAAUGGCUCCUUCCACAGAUGGUGAAGCCAUGCUGACUGUGGGCAGGAAGUCUCCACUUUUCACUCUUAGACCUGUCUACGGAAUGGUUGCCAACUCUCUCAAGAGAGUGAUCCCAGAGACUGAGGCAGAAGCCACGGUGUCUUUUAUGAGCAGGACCCUUUCUGCCGUUCCUACAACAGAUUAUACAGGCAAGCUCCAUUCAGCAUAGGAGGGAACGACCAUGGGUCCCACUUCCAGGAGGUAUGGUGUACCCCUGAAGGCUGGCAGUCUGCAGAGCAGCGGAAACGGGCUGUCACGUGGCUCGAGGAUCGGGAUGAACAGGAGCUGGCUGUACUGACUGACUGAAAUCUGCUCCGGCCAGGUAGGCCAAGUUCUGUCUCCAGUUAAGGGGUGGAGCGAGCCUGUCUUUCCUCCACGAUGCCCAUGUAGCUUCUGCCCACUCUGGCAGGGAAUGGAGGCCUCCUUUGGGCACUGCUGGAUCCUGUUACACUGUCACCGAGAAAGACAAGAACUGUGGGGCUUGUGGCAGGAGACAAUGGCCUCCAUUGAGGAAUUAUGACGCAAAGGAACCAGCAAGCCCACAGCCACCAUUCAGGAAACAAUAGGUGUUUCAAGAGGACCCAGGGGAUGCUCCCAGGAGAGGCAAAGAUGCACAUCACCAGGCCUGGCAUUCCCUCCCCUCUCUCAGGUCUCCGACACUGUGCCAAGAGAAAAAUCUCUCCUGGAUCUGUCUGCAAAGGGGCGGAAGACAGGCUAAGAGACAAUAAAAGCUGCAGGGCAAACGGAGCUGGGAGGACAUGAGGUUGUCUGGGCCAACAACUGAAGAGUAUCACUUGACUUGCAUGAGGCACUUGACAUACGUUUGCUGAAGGAAGUCAAAGAGGAGAGCCCAGACAGACAGAAGAUGUGGAAUGAUGUGCUGCCCCAAAGCAGACUCUAGGAUUGCUACUUUCUUGACUUUCACAAGCAAGGAAGGAAGCGGGAAGAGGGAGAGGAGAAACCGGUGGUGAGUGCUUCUGUGUUGGAUACUAGUGUGGACACUUGGGGCUCCUCUACACUGUUGGAGUCAUGGGAGGAGCCAGGCAGAUACAUCACCACAGCUCUGCUGAGGAGGGGAGGUUGCAGUAUUUUCCUUUUGGAUCCAGACCCUCCUCAG